GGCUCUGGCAGCGUGGCCAGAGGCAGGUCAGAACAUUCCCCGGGCCAGCAAGCUGUGACCGCCACGGGGCAAACCCAACUGGGACGGAGGCCUGGGCAGGCACCUUCCUGGGGUAUUGGGGCAGGAGCAAGCAGAAAGCCCUAUCUUCACCCACUGCACCCCGUGCCAGCCUCCUUGCUGACCUUGCCUGAAGGUCCCUCCAUCAGUCACCACAAGCAAAGAGCGGGUGCUGACGUUAAGCCUGGGAAGUUGUUUGAAAAGCUAAUCUUGCCUUAGAAGGCGCCGGGGCUGGUGUGAGAGUGUUCACCCCACUCACCUCGGAUGGUUUUUCUUAUGGGCUGAGCUGUGUCCCCCAACAGUUUCGUGUUAGAGCACCUCACAAUGUGACUGUAUUUGGAGACAGGAUUUUUAAAGAGGUAAUUAUGUUAAAAGGAGGGUGGGCCCUAAUCCAUUAUGACAGGAGUCCUUGGACACCCGCAGACAGAAGAUCACCUAGGGACACGGGAGAAGAUGGCCAGCUACAAGCCAAGGAGAGAGGCUUCUGAAGCAACCAACCCUGCAGACACGAUCUUGAACUUGUAAACCUCCAGGACGGCGGCGACAUAAAUUUCAGCUGUUCAGGCCUCCCAGUCUGUGAUGCUUGUCAUGGUGGCCUUAGCCCACUAACACAGUCCCUGUCCCCAGAAUGUCCUGUCUGGUGCCCCAUCUUCUCAUCUCUCUCCACUCUGGGGUCUUCCCUCCCGGGCCACCAGCCCCGGCUUUCACAGUCUCUGAGACAGUUGCAAAUGCAAGACUGGUCAGGACGUUUCUUGAACUGCAGAUGUGCUGGAACCUUCUGGGGAAUGGAGCACAAUGAACAUGAGCAGGGGGGCUCCGGAGCGCUUCCUGAGAAGGUGUGGUGAGGGUGAGCUCCCCGUGCCCUUUCAUAAAUGGCUCAGCAUAAGCUAACGGCAGCAAGAACCUUCCCUGCAGCCUGCUAGGCAGCCCACAUGCCCAGCAGCAGCAUCCAUUGAAAUAUGACCUUGGGGUUCCUCUCCCUACAUAACUGCCUUCAUCCCCUUUCCAGCGCAACGCCUUGCUGGUACGUCCCAGCCUUGGGAAUUGGUGGAAUAUAGAAUGGCCUGUCUGCAAAAGGCCUCAGCAAGUGCAAGCUGGCCCCGACUCCCAAGGAAUAACAAUAAAACUAGCACACAGACCCCGUCUCCCAGCUUCGCAUUCCUUCUUUGGCAGAAUGGAGAGGGAAGACCUUUGAGAAGCAGCGAUCCGGGGUGAUCUCCACCCCUCACCCAUUAGUACCAUGCUCACAGCAUCAGGGAGCCCCCGUGACGAGUAUGUGUGAGCGAUAAGAGGACGCCAGUCUGUAGGAUGGGAGCCGUGGACGCUGGCCCACAGAGGCCCCAUGUCUAUAUGGGAGGAGAGGGCACGUUGUUAGAGAAGGGGAAAAAAUCUACCUACCCCUGGCCUGCUCAUGCCAGGCAGGCUCUCUAGACCCGCGGCCCCAGGCUCUGCCCUCCCAACUCUGGACUCUCCUGCCAGUUCUGGGGCCAUUGCUGCUGGUGGGGGUGGUCCCGGGCCAGCCUGUUGGCUCCAGUUCUGGUCUCGGCAGGGGUCUGGUGCAUCACCCACCCUCACCGUACCAAGCUCUGCUGAGAGCAGUGUGCCAGACAUCUACCCAAUGUCUAGUUUCCCCUUCUUCCUACCAGCGGGACCCUGACUGGGGUUGGGGGGUAGCCAUGUGCCCAAGGUACCCAAAAUGCUUCCUUGGAUCCUUUGUAGCUAGUGGUGGCCACGUUGACCCAGUUCUGCCCAAUGGAAUAAGAAGGAAGUCGGUGGGGAGAUAUUAAAAAAAGAAAUGACUCAUCUGGCAUGUUCGUCAGCCCUUGGCCUCUGACUGCUGACUUCACCCUAUCCCUUUUUGCCUUCCUAGAAGACAGAUUGGAUGCCUGGAGGCACAGCAGCCAUCUUUCACCCAUGAGGAGAGAAGUCAGGUGCUAAAGUGUGCUGGAGGAGGAAGGGACAAGGAGUCUGGCUGACACCCUUACACAACAGCACCAACUGUUGACUGCCAACUCUAAACUUAACUUUGCUGUGUGAGUUUUAAAAAAAAAAAUCUCUUCUUUGUUUAAGGCCUUGUUACUCUCUGGUUUUCAGUUCGCAGCUGAACACAGUCCUCACUGAGACACAGCUCUUCCUAUGCAAAGUCUGGUAGCUCCUUCUGAAAUCUCAGCACCUACCCCAGCCCCAGAGCAGCCUGGCCCAUGGAUGGUUGGGCCUCUUCCCUGACCCCACCGCACGGAGGUGAUGGCCCGAAGGUAUGGGACCGCAGGUUUAGAGAAGAAUUGAUCACCUUCCAGGACACCAUACGGUUUACUUUCGUUGUGUUGGCUGUGUGAUGUCUGCGCCUUUCUCCCCACCCCCAGGAUGAAGCCCCACACAGAUAAGGGUCUGGGUCUGCUUUGUUCUUUAAUGCCUUUCUAAAAGCCUGGAAGCAUUUCUGGCAUAGAGAAAGCAUUUGCUGACUGGAAUUAAUAGCUAUGUGUCCUAAGCACCAGCUGUUCUGGGCUGACUUGUGUCCCCCCCAGUUUGCAUGUUGAAGUCCUAACCCCAGGACCUCCGAAUGUGAACCGUAUUUCGAUAUGGGGUCUUUGGAGAGGUAGUUAAGUUAAAAGGAGGUCAGUAGGGUGGGCCCGGAUCCAAUAUGACUGGUGUCCUCGUAAGAAGAACUGAUUAGGGACCCAGAAUGCAGAGAAGGAAGACGAUGUGAAGACACAACAGGAAGAUGCCCAACCACGAGCCCAGGAGAGAAGCCUUAGAAGAAACCAUCCGUGCUGACAUCCUGAUCUCAGACUCCCAGCCUUCAGAAUCAUGAGACAUAAAUCUCUGUAGUUUAGGCCACCCACCACGUCUGUGGUCCUUUGCUAUGGUGGCCCUAGCACACGGAUACAGCAGCCAUACCUGACACAGUUUG